rnacentral:rRNA from 1 species
AGGACGAACGCUGGCGGCGUGCUUAACACAUGCAAGUCGAGCGGUAAGGCCUUUCGGGGUACACGAGCGGCGAACGGGUGAGUAACACGUGGGUGAUCUGCCCUGCACUCUGGGAUAAGCCUGGGAAACUGGGUCUAAUACCGGAUAUGACCUGCUCUCGCAUGGGGGGUGGGUGGAAAGAUUUAUCGGUGCAGGAUGGGCCCGCGGCCUAUCAGCUUGUUGGUGGGGUAAUGGCCUACCAAGGCGACGACGGGUAGCCGACCUGAGAGGGUGACCGGCCACACUGGGACUGAGACACGGCCCAGACUCCUGCGGGAGGCAGCAGUGGGAAUGUUGCACAAUGGGCGAAAGCCUGAUGCAGCGACGCCGCGUGAGGAUGACGGCCUUCGGGUUGUAACCUCUUCAGCAGGACGAAGCGCAAGUGACGGUACCUGCAGAGAACGCACCGCUAACUCGUGCCAGCAGCCGC